rnacentral:rRNA from 1 species
AUUGAACGCUGGCGGCAUGCCUUACACAUGCAAGUCGAACGGCAGCACGGGUGCUUGCACCUGGUGGCGAGUGGCGAACGGGUGAGUAAUACAUCGGAACGUACCUUAUCGUGGGGGAUAACGCAGCGAAAGCUGUGCUAAUACCGCAUACGCCCUGAGGGGGAAAGCGGGGGAUCGCAAGACCUCGCGCGAUUAGAGCGGCCGAUGCCUGAUUAGCUAGUUGGCGGGGUAAAAGCCCACCAAGGCGACGAUCAGUAGCUGGUCUGAGAGGACGAUCAGCCACACUGGGACUGCGACACGGCCCAGACUCCUACGGGAGGCAGCAGUGGGGAAUUUUGGACAAUGGGGGCAACCCUGAUCCAGCAAUGCCGCGUGAGUGAAGAAGGCCUUCGGGUUGUAGAGCUCUUUUGUCAGGGAAGAAACACCGGCUCUAACACAGUCCGGGAAUGACGGUACCUGAAGAAUAAGCACCGGCUAACUACGUGCCAGCAGCCGCCGCGG